GCGUCAGUAGUGCAACGGGUCAGAGCACACGCUUCCAGAAAGGUGAGAUGUAGAUUCAAGUUCCGCCUGACGCG